rnacentral:rRNA from 1 species
GGAGCCGGAGGGAAACCGAGUCUUAACCGGGCGUUAAGUUGCAGGGUAUAGACCCGAAACCCGGUGAUCUAGCCAUGGGCAGGUUGAAGGUUGGGUAACACUAACUGGAGGACCGAACCGACUAAUGUUGAAAAAUUAGCGGAUGACCUGUGGCUGGGGGUGAAAGGCCAAUCAAACCGGGAGAUAGCUGGUUCUCCCCGAAAGCUAUUUAGGUAGCGCCUCGUGAAUUCAUCUCCGGGGGUAGAGCACUGUUUCGGCUAGGGGGCCAUCCCGGCUUACCAACCCGAUGCAAACUGCGAAUACCGGAGAAUGUUAUCACGGGAGACACACGGCGGGUGCUAACGUCCGUCGUGAAGAGGGAAACAACCCAGACCGCCAGCUAAGGUCCCAAAGUCAUGGUUAAGUGGGAAACGAUGUGGGAAGGCCCAGACAGCCAGGAUGUUGGCUUAGAAGCAGCCAUCAUUUAAAGAAAGCGUAAUAGCUCACUGGUCGAGUCGGCCUGCGCGGAAGAUGUAACGGGGCUAAACCAU